rnacentral:rRNA from 1 species
CCUACGGGGGGCUGCAGUGGGGAAUAUUGGACAAUGGGCGAAAGCCUGAUCCAGCCAUGCCGCGUGUGUGAAGAAGGCCUUCGGGUUGUAAAGCACUUUCAGUGGGGAAGAAAGCCUUGGGGCUAAUACCCUCGAGGAAGGACAUCACCCACAGAAGAAGCACCGGCUAACUCCGUGCCAGCAGCCGCGGUAAUACGGAGGGUGCGAGCGUUAAUCGGAAUUACUGGGCGUAAAGCGCGCGUAGGCGGUCUGAUAAGCCGGUUGUGAAAGCCCCGGGCUCAACCUGGGAACGGCAUCCGGAACUGUCAGGCUAGAGUGCAGGGGAGGAAGGUAGAAUUCCCGGUGUAGCGGUGAAAUGCGUAGAGAUCGGGAGGAAUACCAGUGGCGAAGGCGGCCUUCUGAACUGACACUGACGCUGAGGUGCGAAAGCGUGGGUAGCAAACAGGAUUAGAUACCCUUGUCGUC